rnacentral:rRNA from 1 species
GAUGAACGCUGGCGGCGCGCCUAAUACAUGCAAGUCGAGCGAACAGAUAAGGAGCUUGCUCCUUUGACGUUAGCGGCGGACGGGUGAGUAACACGUGGGUAACCUACCUAUAAGACUGGAAUAACUCCGGGAAACCGGGGCUAAUGCCGGAUAACAUUUAGAACCGCAUGGUUCUAAAGUGAAAGAUGGUUUUGCUAUCACUUAUAGAUGGACCCGCGCCGUAUUAGCUAGUUGGUAAGGUAACGGCUUACCAAGGCAACGAUACGUAGCCGACCUGAGAGGGUGAUCGGCCACACUGGAACUGAGACACGGUCCAGACUCCUACGGGAGGCAGCAGUAGGGAAUCUUCCGCAAUGGGCGAAAGCCUGACGGAGCAACGCCGCGUGAGUGAUGAAGGUCUUCGGAUCGUAAAACUCUGUUAUUAGGGAAGAACAAAUGUGUAAGUAACUGUGCACGUCUUGACGGUACCUAAUCAGAAAGCCACGGCUAACUACGUG